GAGUGGACUCAAUCCAUCAGUUGAAUUUACUAGGUCUUCAAAAGCGAGUGGCAGUUUGUCGCUGGCGGCAGCCCUUCUGGUCCCCGGGGAGGAUCGGUGUCUUUUAGGACAAGAAUUUUAUCCUACACCCCGUGGCUGUCUUCCUAAGCCAGUACUUUUUUGGAGCUGCAGCGGUCAGGCUCAGAAAACCAAGACAGUUCCCACCCUAUUUAUUUUGUUUUACUAGAGAUUAAUCUGUCCAAUGGGAAGCAAUUGUCAACUGAUACUCAAUAGAUGUUCAUUUAUUUAAUUGUACUGAAUCAAACCUGAGGAUGACUCUUCUGAACUCUGGAAGAUGAGAUACACAUUUUCGGGGGAAGAGAGCUCUGCUGCCCCCUCCUUCCGGCUGCUUCCCACUUCCAUGGUCCGCCCUGGUCUGGCGAGUCCCUGUGCUCCUUCCCCGUUAGACCUGGACACCUUCCCAGCGGCCCCUUGAAUUCACUAGUUCUGUUCUUUCUGUGGACUCUUUGCCAAUCCCAAUGCUGCACUGAGUUCCCUUCUAAGUCUCAUCUCCUUGAGAAGUUAUUUCUGACCAGGUGAGUCUGUAAUUCUUUCCCCCUCUUUUGAAUGGUUAUACCAGUUAUUGUUUAAA
rnacentral:lncRNA from 1 species